CAACCCUCGAGCCCCCCGCGGGGGGCCCGGCGUUGGGGAUCGGCUGACACUGCCGGCCCCGAAAUACAGUGGCGGUCCCGCCGCAGCCUCUCCUGCGCAGUAGCUUGCACACUCGCACCGGGAGCGCGGCGGGCCCACGGCCGUAAAACACCCCAAACUUCCGAAA
rnacentral:misc_RNA from 1 species